rnacentral:rRNA from 1 species
UACGGAGGGUGCAAACGUUGCUCGGAAUUAUUGGGCGUAAAGCGCACGUAGGCGGCCGAUUAAGUCGGGUGUGAAAGCCCAGGGCUCAACCCUGGAAGUGCACUCGAAACUGGACGGCUUGAAUAUGGAAGAGGGUUGCGGAAUUCCCGGUGUAGAGGUGAAAUGCGUAGAUAUCGCUUGGAACGCCAACGGUGAAAACAGACGACUGGGAGUGCGCUGACGCUGAGACACGAAAGCCAGGGGAGCGAACGGG